GGGGAUGACUGGUUUUGACAGCGUGUAGAGGCGGUGUGGAAGCAUGCAGAGCAACGGUAUCAGUUCUCUAUAAUCAUCGGUAUCAAAAUUUUAAAUGGCGAAAACAACUACGCUCUCGCUGCUUAAUCGAAGCACAGUAGAUUAGCUUUAUCUCCGCAACAGUUGCAGAGACGAGACAUCACCCGAUUGUCCUCUUCCCGAGACUAAUCGACAAGGUGGUGCAGGUAAAUCGGGAAUAGGGGGCCGAUAGCUCCGGGAAGCCCCCGAGAUUUCAGGAGAUAAGCGUGUAAUUGGUAGUUUCUUGCCUGUUGCACGACGAAAACCAAGUAGAAACUAAGCAUGUAGAAACCACAUUGGUUCCACGUUUGGACGAGGGUUCAAACCCCUCCAUCUCCACU
rnacentral:tmRNA from 1 species